UUUCCGUAGGUGAACCUGCGGAAGGAUCAUUAUUGUAUAACCGAUUUUCGAGGUCUGUCGCUGAACCGAAACGUCGUGCACGCUCGAAUGCCCUCACACACAUCCAUCUCGCCCCUAUGUGCACCACCGCGUGGUAACCCCUUGUGUGUGUUCGGUUGUGGGCUUACGAUUUCACACACAACUUGCAUCAACUGUACAAUUUAUUUUUUGUUUUUGCUAUCACGCAAUCAAUAGAACUUUCAACAAUCGAACUCUUAGCUCUCGCAUCGAAGAAGAACC
rnacentral:misc_RNA from 1 species